GAGUUUUUACCCCUCAGCCCCUAAUGCAUUUGUUUGCCUUUCACAAUGACUUUGUUUAGUAUUUCCCAUCGACUUAAACAAUCUUCCCCUAAUAAAUUAAACAAGAAAGCCAAGAGAAUGUGAAACGUACAGACUAACAGCAAAUUAGGAGAGCAGGAUUUUCUUUUCCUGCUGAUAAUUUUACCUGUUUUGCAAGGUAACCUCAUAUUUUUCAGUGCAGUUAAUUUCCAUGAGCAUAACAACAGGAACUCAGUAGCCAAAAGAUCCUCCAAGCAUUGGGGCAGAACAGAAAAAGAAAUGAGCAGAUCCUUAACAAGAGGCAUUUCAGUUUGCUUGCUGCACAAGAGCUCUGUCAACAGAAGUAUGUGUGAGAAUCCCUGGGGCUAAAACAGCCUUCUGCAAGCACCAGCCAAAUUAUUCACAGUAAAAGAGAGAAGAAGAAAAAAAAAAGGAGAGGGGAAAAAAAUGAAAGGAGAGCAAGAGAGCAUGCUUCACAGCACCACAAGGUGCUUCUAAAAAUACAGGGUGACCUCAUUCUUCAUACUGCGCUGGACCUGAACGUUGUGCUUUGCUUUAUCACCUACAGCACCUGGAGUCGGGUUCCCAGUGCACGCACUGCUCUGGAGGCUGUCAGGCUUUGAAAAGGGAGGCGGUGAAAUGCCUUUUGAUGUAGCACUUCCAAGCAAUAGGAAGGAAGACCAAAAUUAGCUUUCCAUGUCACCUGGCAAGUUCUUAUUGUUUGUCUGUUUCUUCAAGACCUACAUCUGCUGCCAAGACUUCACAAGUCUUCCCUUCUAUAUAUAUUAGUAGGAUCGUGCCUCACAGACAGAAUGUCUCAUGUGCUGCAAGGCAGAGCUGUAGUGUAGGCUCCUGGAUGCACAAAUUUCAUGGUGUGAGUAUAAAUCAGUUACUUUCAAACCUAGCCAGCAAAAGGAAGGGAUGAAUUGCCAUUAGAAAUAUGGGGUGAGAAGACUGCUGAGCUAUACUGUAAUUUUUGUUGUCUUUUUCUAUGCUGCUUUGAUUAGAGCAAACAGCAAAAAUGCAAAAGCUGCAACACAGUUCUAUUUGUGUAAUGGCUGCUGCCUGCCAGUAGAGCAGAUUACAUCUUUCACCUUGAAGUAUCCACAGGCAGUUGCUGCCAAAUCUCCAUCCCUCCUGACUCACUGCAUGAAUGAGGGAGACAGCCCUAAGAUGCACCCGAUUGCUUUCAUGGAAGUUAAGCAGUAUUUUAGUCAGCAAAGACUUUGGAAUGUUUAUGAAUGAAUUGCUCAGCAAAUGAAGGCACGUAUCAAGGCAUUUUACAGGAAUUACUAUAAUAAUGAACUAUAAAGUUCAGCUUAGAAGUGCUUACAGUCCACAGACAGCUGCACCACCAACCCUCUCCUUGCUGGUCCCACCUCCACUGUGACAGAAGCUCAUUUUUCACUGCCAGAGAAAGCAAAAUAUCUUCUCAAAUUCAAUGAACAACAACGAUAAAGAGACACUUUGCUAAUGUAGCUGGGCUUACACUCCUGUUUGUUACAGCUGUGCUGCUUUCCAUCCACCAUCCUUAUUAAUGCUCUUCCACCGGCUGGACCUUAGAAUCAUCAGCAUUCUCAACAGCACUGUCAUGGUCACCUCAUCACUAUGUGGAGCAGUGCUUAAUUGCAACUCAGGUGAGCAAAUGCCUCUGCAACACAGCUCAUUCAAUUUCUAAGAACUUAAAAGGAUGGGAAAUUCUGAGUCUUAGCUAGUUUACAUAAUGAGGGCCUUGACUUUGCAAAUCAUUCUGUUGUGUUCAUCCUGUGCAGAGUGGUUACCGUCCUAAGCAGAAUCCAUGUGUAAGCAUCAGUGAAGUGAAGGACUAAUCAUGGCCUUGGAAAGAUCUCAUGCCUGUUGCAUACCCAAUUGCAUCUUCUUAAAAUGAAGUAGCGGAAGGGAGCGAGAUAUGAAUGGGGAACUGUAGAUAGAUGUCUUUCAGCGUGGUUCUCAUACAGAUGAAGUGUCCCAAGUAAGAUCCGGCCUUCCUUCAGCCAGUCGACUUCUUUUAGUAUUGCAUUCAAUUUAUUACUAUAAACACUUUUAUAUAUAUUACACUAUACUGCCUCAAGUACUUUGUCUUGUUCCUAUGAAAUGCAGCAUCAAGGUCUGGAUGACAUGUUGGCCUAAGGUUGUUUGACUACAUGCUUUUAAGAGGCAAUUUCAAGGGAUUUAAGAUUACAAUCUGAACUACUUGAGAAAUGAAACCUUCUGUGAAGUUGCUGAAAAUCCCAGUGCUCAUGGAAAAGAAGGGGUGAAAUGUAUAUGUGUGUGUAUUAUCUAUACUCUAUGUUAUUAAAUAAAAAACAGGUAUUUUAGUAUACUGCCUUGGAACACUUUGGCUCUGUUUUUAUAUGACUAGUGGAAUCAACAUAAGACAGGAAAGGCAGCCAGUCAUACACAGACACUGGUCAUAAACAGAGGCCCCCAAAAUGAACGAACACAUAAUAAAUACUUUAAAAGCAACACUGAAUAAACCAUAUAGGGAAAAAAAAAAUAGCUGUCUCCCUUCAGGUUGAGGUUCUUGGCAUUGGUAAAAUCCUAGUUCUUCAUCUAAGUAACCAGUCCAAACCGAAGUCAGGAAACAGCAUUUCUGCAAGAGAAGUCACAGAGAUCUGAGCUGCUGCUCCCUCCAGCUCAAAUACCAGCACUGUUUCUACAGCCUGUAAAGUGAAUUCCAUUACAUAUGUUCAAGGGAUGCUCAGCAGACUGUCUGGAAAUUAAUCUUCAUUUUGCAUAAGAGGAAGAAGGCUGAAAGGAACAGUUUUCUCGCGUUGGAAGAUAUCUACGUUAAAGUGGAGGAAUUAACAGUCAUAUUAACAUCUCUAAAUUUCCUUUUAAUCUGAUGAAAGAGGAAAAAUAGAAGACACUAUUCUGCCACUUCUCACUCUAUGGGUUAGGUAAAUAACAAGCAAUUUUUUUCCCUACUCAGCUCUUGUCUAUUGAAAGCUGUAUAUCAGUACAAAACUGUCCUUUACAACAGCCUGCAAAUGGAGAUAACUUUGGUUGGCUUCCACAGUUGCAUUCUUCCUUCUGAGACAUCUCUGCUGGACCUGUGAUGCCCACCAGCAGCAAAAGACACUGGAACAUGGAAGUUAUUUUGGCAUUUUAUAGGAGCUAAGACUGCUACAGAUCUGCGUUUACUGUAUGGUUCAGAAUUAUAAAAAGAGGGAAAUAGACUUCUUUAACAUUAUUUACUGCACUGCAAAAAGAAAAUAUAUCAUUGCCUUUGGUGAGAAGAUAUCAGAUUAAUUUAACUUAUUAUUAUCCAGUGUCCGUGUAUAAGCAAUUGGAAGCUUGUGUCUACCGUGACCACACAGGUAGCAAGAGAGAUGCAAACUGGAAUCAAACUUUUUUUAUCACACAAAGGCAUCUCUGAGUCACAGUUCAUCCUCCAUCUAUUAAAAAAAAAAAUCUUUAUUAAUUGUCAUGAUUUAAUUUAUACAAGAACUGAAGAGGUAGAGAUUUUAACAGGCAUCAUCAGCUCUUAUUUUUAUGAGCUGAACUCUUCUUAGUAGUUCCGUUUAUAAAGGAGCUGCAUUUCAUUGCAAAUGCCCACUCUUCUCUCCCCUAUGCACUCGGUCCUCCUUAAUAGGGAUAAGCCAAUGAUCUUAACCAAACCAACCCCCCCAGCCCUUGAUUUUCUCAGAAUCUGUUGGCUUCCCCUGACAGCUCAAUAACUCUCCAGAGCCCCACUUUUGCUUCAAGCUUCCCUUGCAGCAGAAUCUUCAGUCCAUUCCAUGCCUUACCUCUUGCUUCUGUUGCCAAAUUUAUCAAACCUGCCAGCAGCCCUCUUCUGUGUAAGGCUCUGUAUCAGUACUGCAGUAUGUUAUUAUGGAAAGCUUUAAGACUAAAUCAGAGCACACUCGGAAAACAAACAGGAGCGAGUUCUUCAGUGCCAUAUAUGUUACAUCAGUCUGUGGUGUUGCAGCUCCCCAGGUUUAUACUGCUAUCAGUCUUUUAAAGUUUCUGCAGCAUUUUGGCAGCGUGCUACAUUUGUCAGUUGAAAUACACUGCUUAAUCCAAGGCUGGUAAACAGUUUGAAUAGGCACGGCUUUGAUUUAUGAACUGCAUCAAUAUGGUAAUGAGGACAUUGGCUGGGCAAUUAGUUUUAAAUUGUGUAAGCUCACACUAGCUCUUGUUAUUACGAGUACAAAGGUUUGUCUGAACACCUCUGAGUUCAGUGCUGCACAACCCUCUGGUGUCUCUAUACCUACUAGACCAGAACUGUAGCAAAUUAAAGCUCUCGCUACACCUUUUGAAGUUAAUACCACAAAAUAAUUUGUAUGAAAAUAUCAGCAGUAAAUAGAUGCACCUGUUUAAAAUGCUACUUUAUCCACGCUUUAUUUUUACAUUCCAGUAUUGGCUUUGGACUCUAACGAUGUCUUUAUCACCAUCUCUAAUCAGUGUCUGUAAUGAAUGCUAAAGAAGUGGUGAUCCCGCAAUAAACGGCCAUUACUACAAGGGCUGUGCCAGAGGGCAGACUCCUCCUCUUGAGAUCUGCAAGAUCCACGAGAUAUAAAUGGCUGUGAUAGAGGACCGUGUCAGCUGUGAUGAAAAUAAGUUAUUUCAGAGGGUGCUGAAGUAAUUUUGGAGGAACCCCUUGUGGCCCCUAUCCUUAUGUGCAGUAUGGUCUACAGGCAUCCUACACAGUCUGCAGCUUUGGUUAAGCAGUAUUUUUUUUUUUGUAAAAAACACUUUCCUUAAAAACGUAUUUUUGAUGAAUGACCCAAUAUAAAUCUGAAAAUAAAGAAAUCCAUUUAAGUUGGGGACUAUUCACAUCUUUUGAUUAAUCUAUUUAAUUUUUUAGAGCUUCAAAUGAAAUAUACAAAGUGUUCAGAUGAAUACUGAAGUAUUUUCAACCUUUAUAUCUCUUGCUUCACCAUGCCAUUUUUGUUUUGUUUAAAUAAGUAUUUAGUUCUCACAGUUCUUUAGAAUUAUUCAUUUUUUGAGUAAGUUUGUGUGUUGUAUUUUUUUUCACAACCAGGAGAAGUCGAAACACUCAGCAAUAGUUCAGUGACAGCUGCUUUGGAGGUAUCCAAAUUCUUAUUUAUGUACAGAAGGAAGUGUAUCUUAAGCCAAUGUGCAUUUUUGAGGCCUGAAUUGCUAUUUUGAACAAGUUCCCUGUUUACUUUCUGCUCUUUAGUUAUUUCUUCUCUUCCUUUUUGAGAUCUUGAGAUCAGUUAGUUACACUCAACUGUUUACCAGUUUCAGUUCUUAAAUUCCAGACCUCUGCUUACUUUCUUGUUUUGUUGGCUACAUCAGAUUUAUGGUGUCAGAUAUUUUCUCCAUAGAGGGGGUUCUUGUAGACAUUUUGUCAACUAACAGCUCUACUUUUUUGAGAAACUCAAACAACUAAACUUUCCAAAUGGUGUAAUGGAAUGCAGUACAUAAAUGUCUAAUCCAGCUCUUUGCUUCUUAGGCUAGGUCUCAGAAAUAAGAAAUGAUUAUACGAUUCUAUGAAAGCAGUGGAGCUGAGAUAUACGUCCAUAAUACACCUUGUAAUAUCAAAAAGUUAGCCUAGAGAUCUUUACGUAGCACAUGCAGUAAAUACAAGCGAAGUUGAGGGGCCCUUUUCAAAACUCUUCUCUAGACCUCUAAGUUUGGCUUCUUAUGCUAUGAGUUUAUCCUGUAGCACUCCAUCUUUUCAUCCUUCCUCCAUAGAGAAUUAAUCUGCUUUGGACACUUCCACAUAACUUUGUAGAAUGAAGCACCAAACAGCCACCCCAUAAGGAAAAACUGAGAAAUCCACUCCUGGAUGCUACUAGAGAUGUCAUUGUGCUCACAAUGCCUAAAGUAUAGCCCACAAAGAGCAAACGAGCUUUUUACUUUCUGGAAAGAAAUGAACCAUUUAUUUCCAACUUGCAAUAAAUAAAAACAAAAGAGAUAUAGAAAUCUGAAUCAAUGGCGGGUGCCCAUUGCCUGGCAGGAGGAAGCUCAUCUAGAACUUGAAUAAUCCAGUUUCCCUGGAAGCCGGUAUUGAUACAAACCCUGUUGCAGAGCCCUUUAAAACAAGCAGAAUGGAUAUUUCCAGGUUAUUUCUGUGCAGUGUACAAGCAUUCAGCCAAAAGGUCAACAUCCGCCUCUCAGUAGGCAAUGACUUCUGAGGCUCUAUUCAAAUAUAUUAAACUCUGAGAUAAAUGGUCUCUUUCAUCCUCUCUUUUACAAGUACAAAGUGUGUUGUGUUAACAGGAGGGAGAUUUUCUUUUCUUCAGAGCACUGCAGAUGACAGUCAUUAAUUCAGAUAUCAGAGAGGAGCAAAAUUAUUAAGGUUUUUCCCUUGAGACAUGAAAAGGACCUGUUGCUUUGACUGAGCCUUAGAAGUGCCUGAAAUUUAGUUUCAGUCUUUAUUCAUUAAAAACACCAGUGUAUUCAUUUGGGCAUAUUACAUGUACUUACAUAGACAGUCUAUUACAGUUCAGCAUGCCUGAGGCAUUGUAAAGGUCUGUCAGCAAACCAGUCCUUCAUGGGCAUAAAACUCAGUGACUAUAAAUCAUAUCAGACUAAAAUGUUGGCAUGUAUUUUUCAUGCUGGAUACUGAAUCUUUUCAACAAUGAGCAGUAAUCAUUGCAUUGGCAGUUUUUAGUUCAAAAGCAGGAAAACGGGUAAUUAUACACAUAUGAAAACUUCAUUACCUUUCUGGUAAGCACAUGGUAGAACAAAUGCUUUCAGCCUUGAAGCCCUCCUCUCUCUAUCACUAGCAAAUGCUCCAUACAGCUUAAGGCCAAAGUUUGUGAUGCUUUCAUCAAAAAAUGUCUUAGGAGGGAUUGAUCUUCUGAAAGUCAUGGGCCUUUCCUUUUGAAAAGUAUCAAGCACUGCUAAAGUACGCCUCUCCAAAAGGACUCUGAAGGGUCAUUUAUCUAACAACAAAAAUUCUGAUUUCAAAACAUCAUUGGCUGGUUUUAAAGUGUGUUUUUGACCUCACUGUUCCUAGGAGAAGCUUAAAAAUUCUAAGAGACUGUAACUAAUGCAGUCUUGGAUCCCUGAGCCACAGCGAUGACAGAGAGAAGCAGUUCUAUGAAAUAUGGACUUCCAGGUACACCUCUAUCAAGGCAUAAAUUGGAAACAACCCGAGUCAAGAACAGCAGCAAUGACUAGAAAUUGGGAUGUCACCAACACUAUCCACCGCCAUGAGCUCUUCUAACUGAUCCCUGCCCUGCAGCUCAUGAUCAUCUAACACUGGGCCCUACCAAACUUCUGAGGAUUCUCCUGCUUCAGUUCUGUCCCUGUAGUGUCUCCCACGCAUGUCAGUAGUAGUAGCCAGAGAAAAGACAUGGAGCUGUCCAGACCAUGGAGAAUAUGUUUUCCUGGCUCAUAGUCACAUUCCUGAGGUUUCAUCCAGCAGGCAAGCUUAUGGAGAAAUGGGAAGAAGGACGAGGAAUAAAGCAGUUCCAUUUACACAGCACUGACAGAUUUGGAUGGUGUUGCAUUUCUCAGGCAAAGCAUCUCUGAGAAGCAGAAGGUUGCUGGGCAUACGGAUGCUGUACCUGGGCUGAAGGACAAUGCCUGAAGACUGGAAUGUUUCUAUAGUAAAUCUGGCUGUCACCUGUG